GAACGGCCCGCGUCCGAUUAGCUAGUUGGUGAGGUAAUGGCUCACCAAGGCGACGAUCGGUAGCUGGUCUGAGAGGAUGGCCAGCCUCACUGGGACUGAGACACGGCCCAGACUCCUACGGGAGGCAGCAGUGGGGAAUAUUGGACAAUGGGCGCAAGCCUGAUCCAGCCAUGCCGCGUGGGUGAUGAAGGCCCUAGGGUUGUAAAGCCCUUUCGGCGGGGAAGAUAAUGACGGUACCCGCAGAAGAAGCCCCGGCUAACUUCGUGCCAGCAGCCGCGGUAAUACGAAGGGGGCUAGCGUUGCUCGGAAUUACUGGGCGUAAAGCGCACGUAGGCGGAUUGCUAAGUCGGGGGUGAAAUCCUGGAGCUCAACUCCAGAACUGCCUUCGAUACUGGCGAUCUCGAGUACGGGAGAGGUGAGUGGAACUGCGAGUGUAGAGGUGAAAUUCGUAGAUAUUCGCAAG
rnacentral:rRNA from 1 species